rnacentral:rRNA from 1 species
GAUGAACGCUGGCGGCGUGCCUAAUACAUGCAAGUCGAGCGAACAGACGAUGAGCUUGCUCCUCUGACGUUAGCGGCGCACGGGUGAGUAACACGUGUAUCACCUACCUAUCAGACUGGGAUAACUUCGGGAAACCGGCGCUUAUACCGUAUAAUAUAUUGAACCGCAUGGUUCAAUGGUGAAAGACGGUUUUGCUGUCUCGAAUCGAUGGUUCUCCGCUGGAUUAGGUAGUUGGUACGGUCACGGCUUACCAAGGCAAGCAUGCGUAGCCGACGUGACAGAGUGAUCGGCCACAUGGGAACUGAGACACGGACCAGACGCCUACGGGAGGCAGCAGUAGGGAAUCUGACGCAGUAGGCGAAAGCUUUACGGAGCAACGCCGCGUGUGUGAUAAAGGUCUUCGGAGCGUAAAACUCUGUUAUUAGGGAAGAACAAAUGUGUAAGGAACUAUGCACGUCUUGACGGUACCUAGUCAGAAAGCCACGGCUAACUACGUG